GAUGAACGCUGGCGGCGUGCCUAAUACAUGCAAGUCGAGCGAACGGACGAGAAGCUUGCUUCUCUGAUGUUAGCGGCGGACGGGUGAGUAACACGUGGAUAACCUACCUAUAAGACUGGGAUAACUUCGGGAAACCGUAGCUAAUACCGGAUAAUAUUUUGAACCGCAUGGUUCAAAAGUGAAAGACGGUCUUGCUGUCACUUAUAGAUGGAUCCGCGCUGCAUUAGCUAGUUGGUAAGGUAACGGCUUACCAAGGCAACGAUGCAUAGCCGACCUGAGAGGGUGAUCGGCCGCACUGGAACUGAGACACGGUCCAGACUCCUACGGGAGGCAGCAGUAGGGAAUCUUCCGCAGUGGGCGAAAGCCUGACGGAGCAACGCCGCGUGAGUGAUGGAGGUCUUCGGAUCGUAAAACUCUGUUAUUAGGGAAGAACAUAUGUGUAAGUAACUGUGCACAUCUUGACGGUACCUAAUCAGAAAGCCACGGCUAACUACGUG
rnacentral:rRNA from 1 species